AUUGGUGCUUGCACCAGAUGACGAGUGGCGCACGGGUGCGUAACGCGUAUGCAACCUACCUUUUACUAGAGUAUAGCCCAGAGAAAUUUGGAUUAAUCCUCUAUAACAUCUUUUAAUUUCAUGAUUUUAAGAUUAAAGUUUUAACGGUAAAAGAUGGGCAUGCGUCCUAUUAGUUUGUAGGUGAGGUAACGGCUCACCUAGACUACGAUAGGUAGGGGCCCUGAGAGGGGGAUCCCCCACACUGGUACUGAGACACGGACCAGACUCCUACGGGAGGCAGCAGUAAGGAAUAUUGGACAAUGGACGAAAGUCUGAUCCAGCCAUGCCGCGUGCAGGAUGACAGCCCUACGGGUUGUAAACUGCUUUUAUACAGGAAGAAACACUCCGACGUGUCGGAGCUUGACGGUACUGUAAGAAUAAGGAUCGGCUAACUCCGUG
rnacentral:rRNA from 1 species